rnacentral:lncRNA from 1 species
CGGCGUUUAGAUGUUUAUUUAAGACGUAUGCUAUUGAACAUGUAUCGAUGCCUUCACCAGCAUAAAGGACAUCGAUGCCACAGUUAGACUGAGGAUCAGAUUCACUUCCGGGGCUUGAGACCGGACCGGGUCUGAAAUUUGCCCGGCAUCCGCAUGGUGAUGAGGGAGGAAGCGCAGAGCGGAAGGUAGAAGACCUGCUUCGAUUUCCCUACCUUCCUCGCAGGAAUCUGCAGGCACGGUCAAGUACAAGUUUAAGAAAUCGGCUCCAGGACCUUAGAAAGGAGGUACUCUUUGGAUCCCCACUUUACAGAGGAGGCAAACUGGGGCUCUGCAAGUUUUCUUAUGCUGAAGUUCAAACAGGGUUUGAAUCGCUGCUAGGAAAUGGCAGAACCAGAUUUGGGUGUGAUUCUGACUUCAGAGUCCACCAGCCCUGUGCAGUGUCUUCCUCGCCAUUGGUAGAGGGACCAGGACUCUGACAGCCCUCGCUACUCUGUCCAUAGGGCAGAGAAAUAAAUCUAUAAUGUGAUUCAACAUUGACUCAUCCAUUGAUUUAGGCAACUGAUAAAUAUUUCUUGAGCAUCUCCGAUGCACUAGGCACUGUGCGAAGCACAGAGCAUACAAAAAUGAGAAAGGUCCCAAUCCCAGCCUAAAAGUCAGAUGUCCAUAUGCAGAGCAUCAUAAUUUGGCAGAAGCUGGCUGCCCACAUUGAAUGCCUGCACAGCUUCAUUAAAAUCAGUGCCCAUGGAGUUCUUGUGGUGCCUCAGUGGGUUACAAACCCAAUCAGUAUCCACGAGGAUGUGGGCUCACUCAGUGGGUUAAGGAUCCGGCGAUGCCAUGAGCUGUGCUGUAGGUUGCAGAUGAGGCGAGGAGGCCAAGUUGCUGUGGCUGUGAUGCAGGCCGGCAGCGGCAGCUCCGACUGGACUUCUAGCUUGGGAACUUCCGUAUGCCGCAGGUGCAGCCCUAAAAGGCAAACAAACAAACAAACAAAAAACCCCACAGUGCCCAUGUUGCCUGCCUCGAGUUUUGAGUGAUUUUCACAGGCUAGAUGGGAGCAAGGUUCUCUUGAACCCAUCUCCAACCUGUGAGGUCGGGCCCAGGGCUCCCUAGAGAUGCAGACGCUGUAACUCCAUAUACCCAACUAGAUUCCGCGGUUUACGGUGAUACACCACGACCUCUAUUCACUGUCUCUUUGACCUUCCUAACAGCCCAGGAAAAUAGACACCUUUAGGCCACUUUACAGAUGCGGAAACUGAGGCUCAGGCAGUGAAGGGCAUAAAUGGAGGGUGUAAUGGAGCAAGGACCUGGGCCUGACCCUUGACUCUCUUCCGCCUGCCAUGAACCCGUUACAGAGAAACACAUCAUCUGAGAGCGUGCAGCUUGCCAGGCCCUUUCCGUCCCUGGGGUUGUGUCCAUGUUAGGGUGAGGAACCCAGGGCACAGGGAGAUAAGCCACUCGCCCAAGCUCACCACACCAGGAAGAAGCAAACACACAACUCAACUCAAACCUGAACAUUCUUGCCUCCUGACCCCAGGCCCUCCCAAUGGAGUAGCUGCCUUCGAAAAAGGCAAUUCGGUCCCCAUCAUCAUUUGCCAGGUCCUCUUUGGUCACAAUGUUGCUACUGUGGGGACAGAAGUCUUAUUAAAGGAUCUCUCCUGUCCUUCUUUCCCGAGUUUGCCUCUGAGAUGCUAAGAUUCCUGCAUCCUCAUCAGAUCCGGAGCUACUGAAGGAGACUUUUCAGGAAAAUAUGAAUAACUAUUUUUAUAUGAAAACAAAACCCAAUUACAUACAUGAGGGGUCCAGCAGAGGGGAGGAAAGGAAAGGGGAUGAAGAGAGGGCACCAGGAGUCGUGGCUCAGUGGUUAAUGAACCCGACUAGCUUCCAUGAGGACAAAGGUUUGAUCCCUGGCCUCCCUCAGUGGGUUAAGGAUCUGGUGUUGCCAUGAGCUGUGGUGUAGGUUGCAGACUCAGCUCAGAUCCCAUGUUGCUGUGGCUGUGGUGUAGGCCAGGGGCUACAGCUCCGAUUCAGUCCCUAGCCUGGUAAUCUCCAUAUGCUGCAGGUGUGGCCCUAAAAAGACAAAAAACAAAAAACAAACAAACCAAAAAAAAAGAGAAAGAGAGAGAGAGAGAGGGCACGAGAGCUGGUUCUGCAGAAGGCAAGGUGGGGAAGGGGUAGUGAUGGGGUCGGCUUUGGUUCAGCUGCACAGCUGGUCUGAUGGGAUUUGGCAAACAGGAGCCCUAUCUCAUUGCGAGUCAUUUUUACCUGCUGCAUUUGCAUAUACAUAUGAUAUCCGUUAUCCUAAUUAUAUCUAUUUUCCCAGGUACAGACAGACAUACCCCAGAGCUGGGGUGCCCAUUAGCAGAUCACACGGGCCUCUGCAGCUGUGUUUUGAUCAGCAGAAAAGGUUCUUUGGCAUCGGAGAACUGAAAUCACCUUUUUGGGUAUGACAAGCGCAGCCGAGCGUCUCGCAAGUGAAAAUCAGAGGUUUCUCUAAGGAAGGAGUGAGAACGACCACAAAGAAUUAAAAGGAGAAUAACCUUUAAUGGUUUUAGCUGUGAAAGCUCAGUCACGCUUAAGGCCUGCCAUCCAUCAGGCAGUGUGGCCCUAGAGCUCUCUGCACGAUGACAUUUGCCCACAUCCCAGCUUCCGGGAGGUGGGGGAAGGCAGUGGGGGCAGCGAGUUGGGGGGGGGGAAUGCAGGCGGGGCCCAACCCACCAUUUUUCCAGGCUGGGCUCCAGUCGGGAGGUGUAGAGGCCGAGGAGGGCUGGAGGAGGAGGGAUCAGCCACCAGCCUCCCAGGGCCGGCAAAGGAUAUGCAAAUCAGUAUGCAAAUCGCCAAAGCCCUCCUUUAGACCCUGAGGCUCAGGACUCUUUCUAGGAGCCAUGCAGGUAUUUUCAGGUUUGUUCGCUCUCACCAGGGACUUCCAGCCCCACACUCCUGGCAGCUUCCUUGGGAGGGCGGUGGGUAAGGUUACAAAUAUGGCUUAUGGGUCAGUACCUUAGAGGUUAGGGCUGUGGAUCUUUGGGAGUUCCCGUUGUGGCUCAGAGAGUUAAGAACCCACACCAUGUCUGUGAGGAUGCAGGUGCAAUCCCUGGCCUCCCUCAGUGGGCUAAGGAUUUGGUGUUGCCACAAACUGUGGUAUAGGUUGCAGCUGUGGCUCGGGUUCGAUCCCUGGCCCGGGAAUUUCCAUAUGCUGCUGGUGCUGCCAAAACGGAGAAAAAAAAAUUAGCAAAGGCUGUGACUCCUUUAUAGCAAGUGGCAUGUUCGUAAGUCGCCUCCUAGUUGUCCCUUGACAGUGCUACAAGGGAGUUUAUACGGGUUUUGUGACCCCAGUGGUAUUGAGGCUGAAGACACGAUGGGCUUUCCUAAGAGCCAGGCUGUGAACCCUGCCUUGAACCCAAGUGCCCUAACUUGAGGCUGGUGCUCUUCCUUCCACAUUUCCCUGAUGAAAAUAUUACCCACCAGAAUGGCGGAGGGCUGGCAAGCCAAGGAACCUCAGACAGGGGAUGCGCCACGUCUUUUUCUCACCUUCCAAAACAGUGACAAGGAUUCUCACUGGGAAGCGCCAGGUCCGAGAGGCGAGCGGGGCUUUAUGGAUUCCAAAUACUGCUCUGGUGAUUAUGAUGUCUUCCCAGAUAUGUCUGGUGGAGAGUCAAUCAUUAAUUUCUUCUUUUCCUCAACAAGUAUGUAUCGAGGACCCACUAUAUGCCAGGCAUUGUUGGAUGAAGCUUCGGUCAACUGGAGGCAGACAAGUGUCGAGGGUGCUGAGGGCAAUGACGAAAGAACAGCCCCGUUGGGACAGUGUCUCUGAGGGGAAGGGCAUCGGAGCCAAGAACCCUCAUGGGGCUUGAACCAGCUCUGCGAGUGCGGAGAAGGAAGGCUUCCAGCAGGAGUGUCUAACACAGAGGGCUGGAGUCGAGAAGGGGAAAGGACGUGGGUCUGGUUGGGGUUUUCAAGAGCAGAGGGUGGGGAUGGUUUUGGAAAGGGGAGAAGGAAGAAAGCCUGGGGGCAGCCUCCGAGGUUUUCUAAAGUCGAAAGGUAAUGUUAAGUCCCCAAGGCGUGGGCCCCAAAUAACACUUUUUUAAAAAUGAAAUAGACAAGUAUAUGAUAUUGUUUUUCUCCAGCUUUAGCAUGCCUCAGAAACACUUGGAAAGGCUUAAUAAAGCAGCCAGAACUUCUGGAGGGUGUUCUGAGAACGGAGGGUGGAGCCUGAGAAUUUGCAUUGCUAACAAGUUCCCAGGUGCUGUUGCUGCUGCUGAUUCAGGACCACAUCUUGGGAACCAUUGUGUUAGGAAUGAAUCACAUGGAGUUCCGCUGUCGUCACAGCAGAAAUGAAUCCGACUAGGAACCAUGAGGUUGCAGUGGGUUAAGGAUCUGACGUUGCUGUGAGCUGUGGUGUAGGUCGAAGAUGCGGAUCAGAUCUGGCAUUGCUGUGGCUGUGAUUUAGGCUGCAGCUCCGAUUAGACCCCUAGCCUGGGAAUCUCCAUGUGCCACAGGUGUGGCCCUAAAAAGACAAAAGACAAAAAAAAAAAAAAAAAAAAAUACAUCACAGGAGUUCUGAUGAUGGGUCAGUGGUAACGAACCCAACUAGUAUCCGUGAGGAUGCAGGGUCGAUCCUUGGCUCAGGAGAAUAAGGAUCUGGCAUUGCUGUGGCUGUGGCUGUGUGAAGCAGCUAGAGCUCCAAUUUGACCCUUAGCCUUGGAACUUCUGAGGGUGCAGCCCCCCCCAAAAAAAGAGGCACACAUCACAUACAUUAAGGGCAAGCUUUUGGUGUUUGAAGCUCUUGUUUCAGUAUUAUCCAUGUUCAUUUGCACUAGAUCCUGAUGUAAAAUGUAUUUUUUCAGAGCAGGUCAUGUUCAGAAAAGUUUGAAAGCCCCUGAAUUAAAGAUUAAGGAUCUUUCUCUAGAAGAGAAAGGGUCAUUCUUUCAUGCUGCAAAGGUGCUGCCGGAAAUCUUGUGACGAGUGAACCAGCAAAUAUAUGAAUGCAAAUAAAGAAAAUCUAGCUGAAAUAGGAAAGAAGAUUCUCCUGUUUAUAGGCUGACCUUGGCCUGAGUUCAUCCCAAUGAACCUUCGGAAAUAUUGCGUCGCCCUUGGUAUAGAGCCAGGAUCACCCUACCCCUGGGCUCCCUGGCUCCUGCCUCCUGUGCUCGGCAGCCCUCUGGCCACAUGAACCUGCUCUCCUCUCCUAGAGCCAUCUCCACAGUGCUGCCAUUCUCUGGAAAACCCAACAGCAUUUAGUCCUUAAGAUGCAAACCCACCCGGAGUUCCCGUGGUAUCUCAGUGGGUUAAGACCCCAACGAGUAUCCAUGAGGAUGUGGUUCAAUCAAUCCCUGGCCUCGCUCAGUGGAUUAAGGAUCCAGCAUUGAAACAAGCUGUGAUGUAGGUCUCGGAUGUGGCUCGGAUCUGGCAUUGCCAUGGCUGUGGUGUAGGCCGGCAGCUGCAGCUCUGAUUCCACUCCUGACCCGAGAACUUCCAUAUGCUGCAGGUGUGGUUAC